AGCCUCGAAUCGGAAGGGAGACGACGCUCCCUGAUUGGUCCCGCCUCCCCCGUAGAGCGUGAGGCGAGGCGGGGCCCGGCAGGCGGCGGCAGCGGGCGAGGUGGGGUGGGACGCCCCCGGUUUCGGUUGAUUUCGUCUCCCGGGAGCUCCCAGGAGAGGCUGUGGGAAGGGACGGAGGGGAAGGAAGCACGUAUCUGCCGCGGUGGGGGAAUCAGCCCCGGGAUCGCCCGUCCGUCCCUCUGCCUCGGCCUUGGCUCCCCUUCUCGGUCUCUCCACCGCCAUUGGGUGGGGCCUGCGAGGGCCGCCGCUGGGCCCACCUUUCCUAAUCAAGCUGGGAAGGGGCAAGUGCGCAUCCCCUAGGAAGCACCGAGCCCGCCUGGAGGACAGGACGAGCCAGGGGCCGGAGGAUGGUUCCGCCGGAGCCGCGCUAGGAAGGCUUCUCCAAGGAAGGUGUCUUGUGGGGUGAUAAUUUGGCCAUUCCCUGAGUCUUACAGGUUUUCUAGAUGUCCUUUCAAAAUCUUCAUGUCCACCAUCUCCCUCCUCGAACAUAGAAGAACUCUUCUCACCGAAAAGUUGGAGAUAGGCAAAUUGUAGUUUUUAGUUCUACUCUGUUCCAAAUCUGAUCUUCGGCAAGUGGAGCUCACCUGCAAUGAUAGCUAUUCAAAUGUAGUUGUGUGGUGAUGAAAGAAAAUAGUAAAUAUCACAGGGCUUUGGAGUUCAAAGAAAAUUAAUAAUUGUUAACAUUUCUUCCCUUCGGUUGCCUUCAUGUAUUUAUGCUAAGAUAAACUUAGCAGAAAUUCCUCAAAAGUUGACCUCCAUUUUUUGGGCGUUUUCUUCCAUUGUCAGCUUAGAGGCAGCUCUACUCACCUACUUUUUAAAACAGCUUGUGAAAGAGACCCAGGAAGCCAACUGAUGGAACUGAUCCAUCUCCUAAGCCUCUGCUUCCAUAUCCCAGAGCCACCAGGGAGGAUGGUCUAGGCCAGGGCAAAAACUCUUCAAUUUAGAAGUAGGAAGGCUGUUUCUGGUUUUUGGUCCUUCCUGAUGAUCCAAGCCAACCAUUUUAAUAUGACAUGGCCUAUUAAAAGCUACCCUGGGCCUGGCAGACAUGGCUCAGUGGUUGAUUGUCAAUUGAGGAGGUCACAUUUCAGUUCCGGACAGGACACAUGCCAGGUUGCAGGUUUGAUCCUCAGUAGGGGGUGUGCAGGAAGCAGCUGAUUAAUGAUUCUCAUCGUUGAUGUUUUCCUCUUCCUUCCUCUGAAAUCAAUAAAAACUAAAAAAAAAAUAAAGCUACUCUGGGUCACACAAAUAUUUUCUCCUAUGUGACCAGGGUAUACAUUUAUUUGAGUGUUCAUUUAGGUGAUGGGGGAUGCCUGAGCUGGCUGGGAUUCCAGAAGAAUCUGCUAUGGGAGUUAGGGUACAAUUAAAGAGUACAGUAAUUCAGUAGAUGAUAUGCUUGAAGUUUAAGACCAUCUUCCCAAAGUGUCAGACUUUUGAGUCCCUAACUUCCAUUCUGGAAUCCUUUUAGGAUCUGUGAGAUUGAAGAAAUGGGAGGAGGGCAGUCUGGCUACCAAUGCAGUGCCCAUAGGUUUUGAAAUGGGAACAUGCCUACUCUCCCCUCUGCUAGAAAUGUGUCUAAACCAAAAUGGGUCAAGACAGAAACUGAAGGCAGAUGGAGAAGGAUUGCCGUGGCAACAAUCAACUGGGAAUCCCUUAGGGUACUUCAAGACCUAUCAUCAGUAGAUUCCUAUUGCAUAAAUUAUAUUAAGUGAGUCUUAUUUUUAUGUGAAUGAACACUAAAUUAACCCUUCAUUACUCAUGACACUGCAAAAUCAAUGAAAUUAAAAUCAAUUCAGAAUCAAUUUAAAUGUAGUUAAAUGUACUAGGAAGACAUAAGAAAAUGGUAAUGGUGGUUGCUUCUGGAAUGAGAACUUGGAAGUCGUGAGUGGAAAACUUAAAUUUCAUCAUUAUUUCUUCUGUAGUUUGAAUUUUUAAAAAUAUCCAUGUGUUGAUUUUUCAAAAGAUACAACUCAUAAUCCAUCUCUCUGACGAGAUCUGGAAAGCCUUUCCUGGAUGAUAUACAUAUGACUUUGCUUUGAUUAACCUUGACGUGUUAGUUUAGUCUUGAGAAGGUUUUUAGCUUUCUCAUGUAUGUAUGUUUUGUCUCCCCAUUUAGAUUGUACAUUCCUGAGGGAUAAGGAAAGCAUCUCAUUCCCAGUUGUCUUCCCACACCCUUACCAAAAGACUAAGUAUUAUAAUUGAAGUGAAAUACAGCAUUUGUAUAGCAUUCUGUGUGUAUCGUAGGUCCAUAAGCAUUCACAGCUUUGCCCCAUCCUUUCAGUUUGUAGUUGAUCUCAGUACAGCCAUUGAGCAUCUCUUCAACAUCUGAUCUCUGUAUUUGCUUAUCCUGGUAGAGCUAAGUUGCAUUGAGCAUUGCUACAUCUUGAGGAAACAUCCAGUUAUUUGCAACUGAAAGGACACUGAUUACAUGAAAUAACCUAAGAAAAAUUGUAAAGAACAAAACUUGUGGGGUUACUUUUGUUGUAAAUAAUGGUAGAAAAGACUCAAUACCAGCUGGAUUUUUAUCUCAAUACAAUGAAAUUUUAUGUUUUAAAAGAAUUUGUAUUAAAGGUGUGUACAUCUGCCUACACAUAUAUACACAUACACAUUCUUUAUUCACAUGCUAGCUUUUGUUAAAAAUGAAAAUUAACAUCUGAUGGAGACAAGAAUAAAGCAUAUACAA